rnacentral:SRP_RNA from 11 species
GGCCGGAAGGCAGCAGCGCCAGGAAUC